rnacentral:rRNA from 1 species
CCUACGGGUGGCAGCAGUGAGGAAUAUUGGUCAAUGGGCGCAAGCCUGAACCAGCCAAGUAGCGUGCAGGAUGACGGCCCUAUGGGUUGUAAACUGCUUUUAUACGGGAACAACGCGCCCCACGCGUAGCGCUCUGCGUGUACCCUAAGAACAAGCAUCGGCUAACUCCGUGCCAGCAGCCGCGGUAAUACGGAAGGUGCGGGCGUUAUCCGGAUUUAAUGGGUUUAAAGGGGGCGUAGGCGGAAGGUCAAGUGCGCUGUUAAAUUUUCGGGCUCAACCCCGGCCGUGCAGCGGAAACUGGUGUUCUUGAGUGAGCGAGAAGCAUGCGGAAUUCGUGGUGUAGCGGUGAAAUGCAUAGAUAUGACGAAGAACCCCGAUUGCGAAGGCAGCUUGCUGGAGCGGAACUGACGCUGAUGCUCGAAAGCGCGGGUAUCGAACAGGAUUAGAUACCCCUGUAGUC